UUGGACCUGAUAUCAGACCAAUCAAACUUGCC
rnacentral:rRNA from 1 species